CAUCUAAAGAGUAGAAGAGCCUAGAUUUCACUUGGCACCCACCUUUCUCUCAGAUCUCUCUUGCCUAACCCCUAUCAUGCAUAGUCUUCUCCUCCUGAAUCCCUCUCACGCGUACGUACUUGUCUCCUCAUCUCUUGCCCUCUUCGGCGAACCCCUCUUCGCGAACCUCUCCUCUGAACUCCUCUCCGCCAAGACCACGAGCAAAAUUUCCUGGCCUUAUUCCUUCACCUAUUCGUCAAAUAGCAAAUGCCCUAAUCUCUUCACCUCCUUUGCCUCAUUCAUGCUUCCUUCACACUACCCAAUCUCUUCGACCCCACCUUCGUCAAGUGCAGAUCCCGGCGCUGAGGCGAUCAACCAUGGUAGAUCAACCCAUCUCUUUGUCUCAUUCACCCUUGAUGCUGAGGUGACCCCUCGCACUAGCGCAACUGCCUCCCAUAUACAGCUGCAACUGCCACUGGUGUCAUCUUGUAUGCUACUACAACCCUUCUUUAAAUCCCUAAUCUUCUUCUCUUCCUCCCGUCUGCUGCUGCGAUUGCCACUAGUGUCUUCUGCCGGCUUGAUCAUGUCGUGCAGCCGCUGCCACUGCCUCUCCUGGAAGAAUGUCAAAUCCCGCUAGUCGCUCCUAGGGAUUUUGUCAUUCAUAUGAUGGUAUGGUUGACUUGCUAGCCCUUGAUUUUGGAAUAGAUAUGUAGAGGAUCUUCAGUUCUGGAGUUCAACAUCCAUAGUCUAGGGUAUGCUUCUCUCUACUUUACUUGUUCUGGUUCUUGAACUUUAUUGUUGUUAUUGUUAUAUUUUGCUUUUUUUUUGCAAUCUUACUGAUGUUCUAUUUGGAAUCAUUAUUAUUCAUUUUUUUGCAAUCUUACUGAUAUGUUUGUUCUACCACCUGCUUUCAAGUCUUCAUGAAUCAUGAUAGCUUAUUGUUACACAUUAUAGCGAGGCAUUUCAAAAGCGAAGCCUACUAAAACAAAGCAAAGGAAAGUAAACUCACCAAUGAUUCCUUGUACUAGUACCUUUUAAGUUGUUCCUGCAAGCCUUGAAACGCCACUCUCUAUUUGUUCUAGUUCACUUGUUGUUAGACUCUGAGAUCAAUGGAAGGGAAAAGCUAUAAGUUUCUGGGUUUUUGGGUGCACUUCCACUGGUCCUGGAUAACCUCAAUUGUUGUGUUAUCCCCAAAAGGUGUUAACUUUGAAGUGCAAGCUCUUAUGGGCUUCAAAGCUUCUAUAGAGGAUCCUCAUAAUGUUCUGGAGAACUAGGACCAGACUUCUGUUGAUCCGUGCAGUUGGACCAUGAUCACUUGCUCAUCUCAAAACCUGAUGAUUUGACUUUAAGUAUCAUGAUUUAUUCUACCUUUUGUAUUUCCUUCUUAUUUCUCAAUACAUAUAUGAAGUUUAUAGCUUGUUCUUUGUAUUCUAAACUUUUAAAAAGUAUUUAUUAUGAUAUUUCCUGCAGAGGCACUCCAAUUAAAAUUCACUCUCAUAGCAGGCAUUUGUAUAGAUGAUAACUCUCUUUUAGAGUGAAAGCACAUUAUAUCCCUUUUUACUAAUGUAAAAUUCAAAUUCUUGAGAUGCCACAUAUUUUGUAAACAAGCUCUGGCCAAUACCAUUCUCUCACAAUUGUUAUAUUUUCUUUAACAGAAAAUAGUGGACUAUUUUUUCUCUAUUCCAUCACAAUACUGGCAUAUGGGCCAUGCUAUCUUCUCUCAUAUAUAAUAUCUCAUCAAUUAUUACUUAAAUUAUUCAUGUAUUUUUUUUUACAUACAAGGCUGCUAGUUAUGUAACAGUUGUUGUUUAGUUAACGUUUUCUCCAAUAUAAUGUGGUGUCGUGCUGGGAGAGUUUUGGUUCUAUAAUAUGUCAUACUACACAGUAUGACUUAUAUGCUGCCUUUUAUUCCUAACGGCACGUUUUCCCCCAAAACCUGAAUAUAGAGGCAUUUUGUCUCUUCAACAUUCAUUAAUGUAUAUAUAUAGUGUUAAAAUUCUGUGAUAAUUUUAAUAUCAUCAACAAGGUUAAGUUAAGUCUUGUUAUUUUUGAUUCUUGUAUCUAAGUGUAUAGGAGCUUAGGAACACAAAAAGUCGAGCGGAAGAUGUAACUAGAGAGAAGGAUGGCACGGGAAGGGCGCCGACGGGAUCGGUGCAUCCGAGAGACGAGGUACUGCAGAAAAGUACAUCGGUGGAUGAGAAGGGCAUGCGCGACAUUCUGAGGGACAAGGAGCCAGAAUAGAAGUCUGCUCGAGGAGAAGGUCGAAAAAUGAAUUCGGAUGAGCCCUAUUUUGGAUGAUCACGAUCACCUAGAUGAUUGGAGCAGCAGAAGAGCGAAAGGAGGCUGGAGUUGCUGCUAGAGGCACCUUCAAAGUGAAUUGAAGGCACCCUUGCACUUUCACUGUGGAAGGCGCCUUCCAUGGCUGGAAGACGCCUUUAAUGAACAGUACGAAGACAUUAAAGGCGUCUUCCAAUCCUAUGGAAGACACCUUCAAACCACAGAUAAGAUUUUUCAAGAGCUAUAAAAAUACUCUUGGAUCUAGGAAAUAGAUAACAAUUCUUGUAAUCAUUUCCUUUAUCUAUUUCCUAGCAACUGUCUGAGCUUUUCAACGAAUGUAAGAUGCUUCUCCGUUUUCAACAAAGGAGAUUUUCUUUUA